rnacentral:misc_RNA from 1 species
AACGUAGGGGGCAAGCGUUGCCCGGAUUCACUGGGCGUAAAGCGGGUGUAGGCGGUCCUUUAAGUCGGAUGUGAAAUCCAGCGGCUCAACCGCUGAAUUGCAUCCGAUACUGGGGGACUUGAGGACGGUAGAGGUUGGUGGAAUUCCCGGUGUACCGGUGAAAUGGGCAGAUAUCGGGAGGAACACCAGUGGCGAAGGCGGCCAACUGGGCCGAUCCUGACGCUGAGACCCGAAAGCCAGGGUAGCGAACCGG